rnacentral:rRNA from 1 species
GACAGAGGGUGCAAACGUUGUUCGGAAUUACUGGGCGUAAAGCGAGUGUAGGCGGUCUGAAAAGUCGGGUGUGAAAGCCCCGGGCUCAACCCGGGAAGUGCACUCGAAACUGCCAGGCUAGAGUAUCGGAGAGGUUGGUGGAAUUCUCGGUGUAGAGGUGAAAUUCGUAGAUAUCGAGAGAAACACCGGCGGCGAAGGCGGCCAACUGGACGAAUACUGACGCUGAGACUCGAAAGCGUGGGGAGCAAACAGG